rnacentral:rRNA from 1 species
GACGAACGCUGGCGGCGUGCCUAAUACAUGCAAGUCGGACGCAAGGAAACACACUGUGCUUGCACACCGUGUGUUCUUGAGGCGCGAGCGGGUGAGUAACCCGUAUGUAACCUUCCUAUUAGCGUGGCGUAACUAUUGGAAACGAUAUCUAAUACCGCAUCAUCUUACUUAUUGCAUGAUACUUGAUUCCAAGAUCCAAUCGCAUCACUAGUAGCUGGACCGGCUUUUUAUUGGCUAGUUGGUGGGGUAAAAGCUUACCAAGGCGACGAUCCAUAGCCGGUCGAAGAGGAGGAUCAGCCACACGGGAACGGAGACACGGUCCAGACUCCAACGGGGGGCGGCAGUGGGGAAUAUUGGACAAUGGGGGCAAGCCUGAUCCAGCCAGACCGCGUAGGUGAAGAGGGCCUUCGGGUGUAAAGGCCCUUUUGUUGGGAAAGAAGAGCAGCAGGUUAAAACCCCGCUGUUCUGACGGUACCCAAAGAAUAAGCGACGGCUAACUUCGUG